UUGUUAAAAAAAAGAGAAAAAGAAAACACAAUUUCAUGAUAUAUAAAUGUGAAAAGACGAAUGAUUAUGAAUGACAUUUAAUAUUAUCGUACGCCGAUGGCGGGAAGAGGCUGCUGUGCGUAGCAGAUUGCGCAAAGUAUUCUUGUGUUUUCUUGCUCGAAGUGUUGACGUGCCGUGAUCCUGACGAAGGGGAGAGUGUACCAGUGUUCAGGGAUAGACGAAGCGUCAUGCACUGGUUUAUGGUAGAAUCUCGAGGGAACACGGGCGGAAAUGGAGGGAGGUGAUAAAGGAUUCCCACCGUUGCCCCUUCGCCACUCCCAGCCGGCAUAACGAGAGUAACACAAGAGGCCAAGGACACCACACAAUGUACACCUGCAAGAAAGAUCGAAAGAAAUAAGAACACGACGAAAGAAAGAGAGAGAGAGAGAGAGAGAGAGAGAGAGAGAGAGAGAGAGA